rnacentral:rRNA from 1 species
GAUGAACGCUGGCGGCGUGCCUAAUACAUGCAAGUCGAGCGAACGGACGAGAAGCUUGCUUCUCUGAUGUUAGCGGCGGACGGGUGAGUAACACGUGGAUAACCUACCUAUAAGACUGGGAUAACUUCGGGAAACCGGAUCUAAUACCGGAUGAUAUUUUGAACCGCAUGGUUCAAAAGUUCAAGACGGUCUUGCUGUCACUUAUAGCUGGAUCCACGCUGCAUUAGCUAGUUGGUAAGGUAACGGCUUACCAAGGCAACGAUGCAUAUCCGACCUGGGAGGGUGAGCAGACACACAGGAAAUGAGACACGGGGCAGACUCCAAAGGGAGGCAGAAGGGGGGAAUAUUGGCCAAAGGGCGCAAGACUGAACAAGGCAAGCCGCGGGGGGGAAGAAGGGCUUCGGGGUGUAAAAAACUUUUGUAGGGAAAGAAAAAUAGGGGGAUAAAAACUGGGGGAGAUGACGGGACCGAAAGAAGAAGCAACGGCUAAAUUAGUG